rnacentral:rRNA from 1 species
CAUGUCCUUUAGGAUUGAAUUUAAGGUCUAGCCUGCCCACUGAGUUAUUAAAUGGCCGCAGUAUUUUAACUGUGCAAAGGUAGCAUAAUCAUUAGUCUUUUAAUUGAAGGCUUGUAUGAAUGGUUGGACAAAAUAUAUAUUGUUUCAUUUAAAUUAAUAGAAUUUUAUUUUUUAGUUAAAAAGCUGAAAUUUAAUUAAAAGACGAGAAGACCCUAUAGAUCUUUAUAGUUGUUGAGUUUAAUUUAUGAAGAAUGGUUUAUUUUUAAUUUAUUCAACUAUUUUAUUGGGGUGAUAGUAAGAUUUAUUUAACUCUUGUAUAAUUUAAUACAUAAAUUAAUGAUUAGUUGAUCCAGUAUUAUUGAUUAGUAAAAUAAGUUACCUUAGGGAUAACAGCGUAAUUUUUUUAGAGAGUUCAUAUCGAUAAAAAAGAUUGCGACCUCGAUGUUGGAUUAAGAGAUAAGUUUGGGCGCAGCCGUUCAAAUUUAAAGUCUGUUCGACUUUUUGAUUCUUACAUGAUCUG